ACAAUACUCCCUCCGUUCCUAAAUAUAAGUCUUUUUAGAAGUUUUCAUAGGGGGCUACAUACGGAUGUAUAUAGACAUAUUUUAGAAUAUAGAUUCAUUAAUUUUGCUCCGUAUGUAGUCCCCUAGUGAAAUAUCUAAAAAGACUUAUAUUUAGGAACGGAGGGAGUAGAUG
rnacentral:pre_miRNA from 1 species